CCAGCCCCCGCACCCCGGGCCGGGAGAGCCGCCCGCUCCGCGCUCCGCAUCGUCCUCGACGUCCCUUCCGCACGCCGUGCCCAGCGCAGCCGGCGCGUCCCGGGCUCCCUUGGGGUCCGCUCGGCUCAGGGGAGGAGGCUCCCCGAGACUGGACCCAACCUGCGGACUGCGGGACCCAGGAGCAGCUCUCUCCGCGGUCCGCGACACUCAGUCUGGCUGCUGGCGGUUGGCGGUGCACCGAGGGAUUCGAAAGGCUGCCCUGCGGCGGUGCCCGGGGUCGCGGGAGCGGAGAGCGGGCGUGGACGGGGAGGGCAGUGUCGCCGCGCCGGUGGGGCCCGGGCUGCGGGCCUGUCGCGGGUGGGCGCGGUCCAGGCCACUCGGAAGCCGCCGCACCCGGGGGAUGCGUUUCCGCAGCUGCCAAAGGACCCUCACUACCCCCAGUUGAGAGACCCGGUUCAGACCUGCGAGUCACUGGGAUCAUCACUCCUUCCUCUAAAAAACAGACGUGUUUUGGGAUAUUCAGAUGAAAUGACAGCAAAAGAACGAGAAGCAGAAUCUGAACAUUUCAGAUUUGCUUAUCUAUCGAUUUAAAGGGAAAUUGUACGGCAGAAGUUUUAUUCGUGACUAUCUAGUGAAGGACUCGCCUAUUACUGCUAUUCGUUAAAGAUUCCGAGGCUAUUUAUCAAUAAUGUUAUUUAUUUAUUUAUUUAUUUAUUGCAGUACUGGGGAUUGAACCCGGGUCACUCUACUGCUGAACUACAUCCUCAGUCCUAUUUAUUUAUCCUGAAACAGAAUCUUGCUAAAUUGCCAAGGCUGCUGGCCCCGAAUUUAGGAUCCUCCUGCCUCGGCCUUCCGAUAGCUGGGAUUGCAGGCGUGUGUCCCCUGUCUAGUUCAGUACUGCUUUGUAAGGUUUGAGAAAGAUCUUUCUGUAAGGUCCUUUUAUUAAAAUAAAGGUUUAUGCAAACUGUUUCUGCUUAUUGCUGUCUCAUAGAAGAUCAUAUACCAGUAACAAAAACAAAUAUAUAUUUGAAAUUCCAACAUAUUUACAAUAGUGCUUAUUUAUGAUGACAUUUUUCAAACUAUAAAUACCUAUAUUUGUGACUCCAUUGUGG
rnacentral:lncRNA from 1 species